GUCUAUGGCCAUACCACCCUGUACAUACCUGGCCUUGUCUGAUCUCAGAAGCUAAGCAGGGUCAGGCCUGUUUAGACUCAGAUGGGAGACCAAAGAGUAAGAGUGGUUAUUAAAU
rnacentral:rRNA from 1 species